rnacentral:lncRNA from 1 species
UUAUAUGUAUUGGCACUUCUUAAAGAAGCUUGAAAUGGCUCACUGAUGGUGACUGAUUAAUUUACAAUAAAAAAUUAGACUUCCAUUCUUACAAUAGUAUUCUAUGUAGCUUCCCAUAUUAGUAAACUAAAUAAGGAAAACUACACAUACUUUGAUGCAAUUAACCUUUAUCUAAUACUGCAAUGGAAAAUACAUUUAAAAUCACUCCAUAAACCUGAAUAAGAGAAAAUGAUAAAAGUAUUAAAAUAUGGCAGUAUAAUUUUAAAUAGUUUUCAAAUAUUAGUCAUUUUCCCUAUACACAAUAUUAAGAAAAUGCAUUACA